UAUAUAACCUUAUAAGUAUAGUCGACUCAAAACAAUUGUGAACAAGGGGAGUUCAACUAUUUAAUUAAAACAAAGCAUUGUGAUGGUCCCUGCGGAUGCCGACGCAAUGUGAUUUAUGCCCAGUGCUAUGCAUGUCAAAGUGAAGACAUUCAACCAAGCGCAGGUAAAUGACGAGAGUAACUAUGAAUCUCUUAAGGUAGCCAAAUGCCUCGUCAUCUAAUUAGUGACAUGCAUGAAUGGAUUAGCGAGAUUCCCAGUGUCCCUAUAUACUAUCUAGAGAAACCACAUCUAGGGGAAUGUGCUUGGCAUAAUCAACAGGGAAAGAAGACCUUGUUGAGCUUGACUCUAGUCCGAAUUUGUGAAUGACUUGAGAGGUGUAGAAUAAGUGGGAGCCGUUUUCGGCGUAAGUGAAGUACCACUCCUUUUAAUGUUAUUUUACUUAUUUCGUGGGGCGGAGACGGGGCAUUGCCCCUGUUUUUGGCCAUAAUACACGUUUCGAUGGGUCAAUUUGGGUGGAUCACAUUGUCAGGUGGGGAGUUUGGCUAGGGCGACACAUCUGUUAAAAUAUAACACACAUGUCCUAAGAUGAGCGCAAUGAGAAAAUAAAUAUCAUGUGGAACAAAAGGGUAAAAUCUCAUUUGAUUUUCCACAAACCUCUUGAUCCUUAUAAUUCAAUGAUGGAUAUGAAUUAAUACAUCAAUUAUAUGUUUGCAUGCAUUAACAUAGUUAAUUAAAAU
rnacentral:ncRNA from 1 species